rnacentral:rRNA from 1 species
AUUGAGCGCUGGCGGCAUGCCUUACACAUGCAAGUCGAGCGCGAAAGGGGGCAACCCCGAGUAGAGCGGCGGACGGGUGAGUAACACAUCGGAACGUGCCCAGUAGUGGGGGACAACCUCGAGAAAUCGAGGCUAAUACCGCAUACGACCCACGGGUGAAAGCGGGGGACCCAAAGGAAACUGAGGGCCUCGCGCUAUUGGAGCGGCCGAUGUCCGAUUAGCUAGUUGGCGGGGUAAGAGCCCACCAAGGCGACGAUCGGUAGCUGGUCUGAGAGGACGACCAGCCACACUGGGACUGAGACACGGCCCAGACUCCUACGGGAGGCAGCAGUGGGGAAUUUUGGACAAUGGGGCAACCCUGAUCCAGCCAUGCCGCGUGC